UCGAGAGUUUGAUCCUGGCUCAGAUUGAACGCUGGCGGCAUGCCUUACACAUGCAAGUCGAACGGCAGCACGGGUGCUUGCACCUGGUGGCGAGUGGCGAACGGGUGAGUAAUACAUCGGAACGUACCUUAUCGUGGGGGAUAACGCAGCGAAAGUUGCGCUAAUACCGCAUACGCCCGUGAGGGGGAAAGCGGGGACCGUAAGGCCUCGCGCGAUUAGAGCGGCCGAUGUCUGAUUAGCUUGUUGGUGAGGUAAAAGCUCACCAAGGCGAUGAUCAGUAUCUGGUUUGAGAGGACCGAUCAGGACACACUGGAACUGAGACACGGGUCCAGACU
rnacentral:rRNA from 1 species